rnacentral:rRNA from 1 species
CCUACGGGAGGCUGCAGUCGAGAAUUAUUCACAAUGGGGGAAACCCUGAUGGUGCGACGCCGCGUGGGGGAAUGAAGGUCUUCGGAUUGUAAACCCCUGUCAUGUGGGAGCAAAUUAAAAAGAUAGUACCACAAGAGGAAGAGACGGCUAACUCUGUGCCAGCAGCUGCGGUAAUACAGAGGUCUCAAGCGUUGUUCGGAAUCACUGGGCGUAAGGCGUGCGUAGGCUGUUUCGUAAGUCGUGUGUGAAAGGCGCGGGCUCAACCCGCGGACGGCACAUGAUACUGCGAGACUAGAGUAAUGGAGGGGGAACCGGAAUUCUCGGUGUAGCAGUGAAAUGCGUAGAUAUCGAGAGGAACACUCGUGGCGAAGGCGGGUUCCUGGACAUUAACUGACGCUGAGGCACGAAGGCCAGGGGAGCGAAAGGGAUUAGAUACCCGGGUAGUC